UACGUAGGUGGCAAGCGUUGUCCGGAAUUACUGGGUGUAAAGGGAGCGCAGGCGGGAAGCCAAGUCAGCUGUGAAAACUACGGGCUUAACUUGUAGACUGCAGUUGAAACUGGUUUUCUUGAGUGAAGUAGAGGUUGGCGGAAUUCCUGGUGUAGCGGUGAAAUGCGUAGAUAUCAGGAGGAACACCGGUGGCGAAGGCGGCCUGCUGGACUGCAACUGACGUUGAGGCCCGAAAGCGUGGGGAGCAAACAGG
rnacentral:rRNA from 1 species